AUGUUCUAUAAUUUGGCCACGUUCUUCUGCAAAAGAACAAUCCUCAACACUGUCCAAAAAACACUUGUACGAUUUCACGGUCAUAGAUCUGCAGUGGCGGCGGCAACACGUUUUCGGCGGCGACUAUGGCCACAUGGAAUUUGGUUGUGUCUCAACACGAUAAAUCAACAAGAGAUACCCAAAGAGCUAGCAGAUUAUUGCUCAUGA